CCCAAUUGGCUGGAGCUAUUAGGCAGCAUUCAAUUCUGCAAAGGAGAGAAAUUAUAUUCUUAAAAAAUGAGACCACAAGGGUGAGGGCUAAAUGCAAGGUUUAUAAGGAGGAAGAGGGCAAAGUUGAUUGUACAUGGGAAAUUUCUGCGACUAAUAGGGCGACAAGUAACAAAACGCUAAAGGUUGUAGCUUACAACCCAAACCAUAAUUGUGGGAGGAUUUGGGAUAAUAAGUUGAUGAAUAGCAGUUGGUUGGCUAGGAUUUACUUUGAUGAUAUCAGGAUCAGUCCUAGCAUUAAGACAAAAGAGCUCGUGGAAAAGGUUCAGGAAAAUUUCAUGUGUAACAUAUCACGAAGUCAGUGUUAUAUGGCAAGGCAGAAGGUAUUGAGGAAAAUUGAAGGUAGAGUUGAAGACCAAUAUGCUAAAUUGUGGGAUUACUGCCAUAAGAUAAAAAGAACCAAUCCUGGUACUUCUAUCUAUGUACACGUGAAACCAAACCAAGAUGGAAUAGCUACCAACAUAUUCCAAAGGUUCUAUAUUUGUUGGGAAGCAUUGAAAAAAGGAUUUGUAGAGGGUUGUAGACCAAUUGUUGGAGUGGAUGGAACUCACUUGAAAGGGGGGCAUAAUCUUGGUCAACUACUAACAGCUGUGGGUAUAGAUGCAAAUGAUUAGAUUUUUCCUGUGGCAUAUGCAAUUGUGGAGCAAGAGAACACAAGUACUUGGACUUGGUUUUUGUAACAUUUGAUUCGUGACAUACAAAUAGUGAAUGAGCCAACUUGGACUAUUAUUUCAGAUAAGCAGAAGGGAUUGUAGAAUGCAAUUAAGGAGUUGCUACCAUCAAUUGAGCAUAGGCAUUAUGUCAGACACUUGCACAACAACUUCAAAAAUGCUGGAUUCCCAGGACAAGCCUUGCAUGAUAAGAUGUGGAAUCUAGCUACGGCAAAUUAUGUGGGUAAGUUUAACUUCUUGAUGGAAGAACUAAAGAAAGAAGACCCAGGGGCAUUUACUUGGUUGUCUCACCCAAAUAGGAACCCUUGUCAUUGGUCUAGGUCACACUUCAUUCUCACCCCCAAGUGUGACAUUUUACUUAACAAUCUUUGUGAACCAUUCUACAAGGCCAUAUUGUGUGCUAGGGACAAACCUAUACUUGCUAUUUUGGAAAAACUUAGAACAUAUUUCAUGAAUAGGUUAGAGGAGAAGAGGGAAUUUGCAACUAAAUGGGUAGAUGACUUGGGUCCUAAGAUACAUAUAAAGAUAGAGAUGAUUAAGAAGUAUGGUGACUUUAUCAUAGUACCAUGUGGGGGUCGAGAGUUUGAAGCAAAAGCCAUACAUGGUGGUUAGUACACAGUGAAUCUAUGAGCACAAACUUGCUCUUGUAGAAGAUGGGACCUUACUGGAAUUUCGUGUGAGCAUGCUGCAACAGUCAUAGCUCGAGAAGGUGGACAACUAGAGGAUUAUAUGAGUGCAUUGUACCAUAAGCAUAGUUUCCUGGCUUUUUACAACCACAUAAUGCAUCCUAUGAAUGGUUCUGAUAUGUGGGAGAAGUUAGGUAAGCCUCCAAUUGAACCUGCAGAGUUCACUAGGCAACCUGGGAGGCCCAAAAAAGCAAGAAGAAGGGAACCUGAUGAACCACCAAAGAACCAAUACAAGCUAGGUAAAAUUGGGGUAAAAAUGACUUAUAGAAGAUGUGGGACACAAGGCCACAACACCAGGACAGGUAAAGCCCCUGUGGAUUCCCUCCCAAGUGGAUCUACAAACCCCACUCCAGUCCACAACACCGACACAAGAGGAAG